rnacentral:misc_RNA from 1 species
AUACUGCAACUCCCCAUCCAGCCAAGGGUGCUGGAAAAGCUGCUGCAAAUGGCAGCAGUGCUAAGGCACAGACCUCAAAAUCCGGUGGCCAGUUUGCUUGCAAAUCCUGUGAAAGGUCAUUCGGCUCAGAUGCUGCUCUGCAGUCUCACUCAAAGGCCAAACAUGGUGGCAAGUAAAUAGAGUUAAAUUUUUUAUGCGUGGUCUCGUGAGAGAACCAAGCUAAAAGAUUUUUUAGGCAUGACACAGGAAGUGAGGGNNAGGGGUUUAUGAUGGUAGGGACUUGCUUUGCAAGUACUGUUAAUGGUUUACAAUUGGGUUGAUAGAUGCCCAUUUUUUAAGUCCAGUUUUCAUUUAUUGUUUCAUAUGAUCAUUGACUUGCAUAUUAGAGGUAAACAUGU